AUGAGCGCAGAGCGAGCAUCACCUUCUUCGUAAACACUGGUGCAAUAGUUAUGGAGCUCAAUGACAUGAUCAUGGUCCAUUUCAGCUACUUCAUUCAUGAUGCCUUUGAACCAAUCAAAAGAGCCUUGUUCCCUUGUUACCCAAUAAAAGUAAGCCCUCUUUGUCUUAAAGUUUUCUCUUGUUUUUGGAUUUGGUGGAGAUGGAGAACUCGUUUUAUAAUUUAUGGCAACCCCAUUUUCCAGGGCACUGCUCAGUUCUUCAUCUUCAUCCUCCGCCAUGGAUCUGAUGUUGUGUACAAUGUCCUUGACAAUGCUGAUCAUGGGGGUUGCUCCAAUCCCCAAACCCACUAACAAAACC
rnacentral:lncRNA from 1 species